rnacentral:rRNA from 1 species
AUUGAACGCUGGCGGCAGGCCUAACACAUGCAAGUCGAACGGUAACAGGAAGCAGCUUGCUGCUUCGCUGACGAGUGGCGGACGGGUGAGUAAUGUCUGGGAAGCUGCCUGAUGGAGGGGGAUAACUACUGGAAACGGUAGCUACUACCGCAUAAUGUCGCAAGACCAAAGAGGGGGACCUUCGGGCCUCUUGCCAUCAGAUGUGCCCAGCUGGGCUUCGUUGGUUUGUGGGGUAACGGCUCACCAAGGCGACGAGCCCUAGCUGGUCUGAGAGGAUGACCAGCCACACGGGAACUGAGACACGGUCCAGACUCCUACGGGAGGCAGCAGUGGGGAAUAUUGCACAAUGGGCGCAAGCCUGAUGCAGCCAUGCCGCGUGUAUGAAGAAGGCCUUCGGGUUGUAAAGUACUUUCAGCGGGGAGAAAGGGAGUAAAGUUAAUACCUUUGCUCAUUGACGUUACCCGCAGAAGAAGCACCGGCUAACUACGUG